CCAUCAUGUGAGCUUGUGUUGAUUUUUGUCUUUAGUUUGAUUUUAUAUUGAUAAUUACUUUGUACCCCGUUUUUUUCAUUCAUAAUCAGUUUUUCUAUUGAUUUAUUUCGGAAUUUAAAAGCUCUCCAUUCAUACCACCGUGCAAGAUCUUCGAACUUACCAUAAAUACUAUCAGCAGCCUCUUUUUGUUCUCAUUCCCUGUCGGGGAAGGUGGAUAAAAAAAAGUAGAUUGCUUCUCUCCUUGACUGAUGGCUGCAGCGAAACUGAAAAAAAUGUACCAACCGAACAUGGAAUUCGUUCAAAAGAAUCGAAGGUAAAAGAGUUCGAAGUUAUUAUUAUCAAAAUGAUUUGAACUCUUUCAAAGACCCAACAUGUAUUUCUUUUUGCACUGGACUCUUUCAUUAACUGAUAGAAAGAUCAGUUAGUCUACCAUGUUUGGUCUGUGAUAAAAGCAGUCUCUCUCUCCGGUUGGUUUAACUGGUAAUGAAAAUAUGAAUAUAUCUUCAGGAAGAGGAAGAGAAUCAUGCUCUUUUGCUCUUAGAAUCAGUUGUUAUAGAAGGAGUGGAAAACGGUGAAUAAGACCUGCAAAUCCCCUUCUAAAUGGUUACCGACUGAAUUAUUUUGGAGGUUAACAGUCACCUUUCAGUCGCUAAAUUUGAGACUGAAUUUAUCAGUUGCAAAAUCAGUCGGAAAUUAGUAGGAAAACAGUAGGUAAGUAUUAUCCUAAACUUAAAUCUGAUACCCUAAAUGUUUUAAAACCUUAAACGUUAAAUAUAAACCUUAAAACUUUAACCUUUUCACACAAUAAACAUUAAUCUAAACCCUACCCUAAAUACCAUUUCUUAAAACCCUAUAUCGUAAAUACAAACUCCAAUUAUAAUAUAAAAUAUCAUAAAUACAUACUCCAGUUAUAAUAUUUUGAAAUUUAAAAUAUAAAAUUUUAAUAUCAAAUCUUAAAUUCAAACUUGAAGUUAAUCUUUUUGAUAAUUAAUCUCGAAUCUUAAAACUAUAACUCAAAUACUAUACACCAAACCCUAUAGUCCAAAGCACAAAUCUAAAUAUCAAAUCUAAAAAUUCAAAUUUCAAUAAAUAUAAACUCUAGGUUUAUAAAGUUUACAAACCAACUUAUUUCAAAUCACAUAUUUAAUUUCAACUCUCCCAAAUUCCAAAACAACAUACUUCAACUAUAAACUUAAUCUCUAAACUUUCAUUUCCCAAACCGUCUUACAUAUCAAUACAAUUGGUCACAUCUCUUAUUUCUCACCUUACAACCACAACCACAACCACAUAUCACAUAUAGUUUAAAAAAAUAUAUCUCAUUUUUGAUUUUUCCUUUCAGCUAACACACCACUACAUGGAUUACAAUCUUGGCCUUUGGUUAGAUUAAUCUAAGGGCUCUUAUCCAUUCGUGUUUUCUCCUUUCUCAACCACAUGUCUCUUAUCUCUCUUUCCAAUCUCUCUCCCACGUCCAUCCUCUUCUGUGUUUCAUCCUCUUUCUUUUUGUGAAGAAGCUACUGACGUUCAUCCUCUGCUCCUUUUUCAUUGUUCUUAGUUUUCUCUCUUUCUCUUCACUUCUUAAAGCUAUGCCUACAUCUAAUUAAAUUUUUUUUUGUUUAAAGAUUUGAGAAGUUAUGAAACGGAAAGGUCUCUGGUGUGGAGAGGGAGCUUCGGUGUGGCUCCUCAACUCGCGGCGUGGAAGGAGGAGGAGAGGAAGCUUCGAUGUGGCUCUACCUCAUCUCGUCGUCACCUCUCUCCACUUCGUCUCCGGUCAUCAAGUUCUUCUCAGCCUCUCUUUGCCAUGAACCUCGCCGGUCAAGCUCUCUGUCUCUCUCUCUGAUUUUGUAUUGUUUUUGGUAAAGUAAGGUGGUGGCAAGGAGAGGUAGUGGUCGUGAGCUUGAAGACAGAGGAGGUACGACGUCGUGGUGUGGCGGUGGUGGUGCAAGCCGUCUCUGGUCAAUGGACAGUGAAGACGAAGCUUUAUGGUCGUCCCGUCUGAGUUAUCAGCCAGGAACGGGGAAAGCUGAGAAAGAGCAAAGACAAGGACAGGAGUUAAGGGGCACCGGAGAGCACGGCGGCGGCGGUUUGGAAAAAUAGAUUCUACGUCGUAUUUCAUCUUCUUCUCAGAAAAAUCGGAGGGGAAGAGAUAGAUUAUAUAGUGAUUGCACUAAAUGAUGGAGCUUUAUGGGUCACGAUUUAACGUUACAGAGGAGAAGCUAAAGAGGUGAAAUCGGCUGGGUUUCUCCAAGGAAAAGGAUCAAAAAGAAAUUGAUCAGUCGGCGACGAAAGCGAUAGGUUUCACUGUAGUAGAUGACAUGGCAUAAUACAGGACUGUGAUUGGUCUGAAUUAAUUUGUCGACGUUGCAUAGCUAAACAUUGAGCUUAUUCUCCUUUUAGUAUCGUAAGAUAUCUAAUUUUUUUGUAUAGUUCUAGGUGAUUAGUGGUUGAUUGUUUCUAGUUCAACCGGGCUUUUGAAAAUUAUUAAUAUAUAAAAACAAAACGAACUUCUUAGUUA